GACGAACGCUGGCGGCGUGCUUAACACAUGCAAGUCGAACGGAAAGGCUCCAGCUUGCUGGAGUACUCGAGUGGCGAACGGGUGAGUAACACGUGGGUAAUCUGCCCUGCACUCUGGGAUAAGCCUGGGAAACUGGGUCUAAUACUGGAUAUGACCUUUCUCCUUAUGGGGUUUGGUGGAAAGUUUUUCGGUGUAGGAUGAGCCCGCGGCCUAUCAGCUUGUUGGUGGGGUGAUGGCCUACCAAGGCGACGACGGGUAGCCGGCCUGAGAGGGUGAUCGGCCACAUUGGGACUGAGAUACGGCCCAGACUCCUACGGGAGGCAGCAGUGGGGAAUAUUGCACAAUGGGCGGAAGCCUGAUGCAGCGACGCCGCGUGAGGGAUGACGGCCUUCGGGUUGUAAACCUCUUUCAGCAGGGACGAAGCGUAAGUGACGGUACCUGCGGAAGAAGCACCGGCUAACUAUGUG
rnacentral:rRNA from 1 species